GACGAACGCUGGCGGCGUGCUUAACACAUGCAAGUCGAACGGUGAAGCGCCUUCCUUUUUGGUGGGUGUGGAUGAGUGGCGAACGGGUGAGUAACACGUGAGUAACCUGCCCCCUUCUUCUGGAUAACCGCAUGAAAGUGUGGCUAAUACGGGAUAUUCUGGGUCUGUCGCAUGAUGGGUCUGGGAAAGAUAUUGUUUCGGUGGGGGAUGGGCUCGCGGCCUAUCAGCUUGUUGGGGGGGUGAUGGCCUACCAAGGCGGUGACGGGUAGCCGGCCUGAGAGGGUGGACGGUUCCACUGGGACUGAGACACGGCCCAGACUCCUACGGGAGGCAGCAGUGGGGAAUAUUGCACAAUGGGCGCAAGCCUGAUGCAGCGACGCCGCGUGAGGGAUGGAGGCCUUCGGGUUGUGAACCUCUUUCGCCAGUGAAGCAGGCCUGCCUCGUUUGUGGGUGGGUUGACGGUAGCUGGAUAAGAAGCGCCGGCUAACUACGUG
rnacentral:rRNA from 1 species